AUGGAUCAAUCUGCGGACGGAAAUAUAGAAAGCAAACAGAAUUCUGCGAAACCGUUUUGUCAGCGCUAUUUAGUGUCUUUUCCAACCAUAGUGUGUCUAGUGUUAUCGCUGAGUUCAAUAGCGGUGUGUUUUCUCAUGAGUUUCAAAACGCAUCAGAUGGAGAGCAGGCUGCGCGAGCUGGAGAUAAAGAUGACUGACAUCUGUCAAGAAUCACCCAAGGACAUCUCUGUCCCACAGGAACUGCGGGAAUCCAUUGAAACACUCUUACAGGAGAGGGUGAAUGAAGCGAUGCCAAAGUUGCGUGUGGCGAGAGACGUGACACAAGACUGCAACUGUCCUCCAGGUACGUCCACGUAUCUGCUCUCAGAACAGUGUUCAGUUCAAAAAUGUGGGAUGAAACCUUACAGAAACUGAUAAAUUCAUCAAUUUCUUGUUCUUGAACAGUGAUUGCAAAGCUGUGAUGUGGAUGAGAGGAAUAUUUGAUUCUGAUUGGUCAGUUAAAUAUUGUUGGAUAAUGAUGCUUAACUGUAAAGUCAUUUAUUUCCUACAUAAUUAUGUAGUUUGAUGUUUCUCAUUUCAUUAUUUUAAAGAUACCUUAAAUGUUUAAUGUCUGUUUAGAAGUCAUAUAAUCAGUCUUUCAUGCUUUUAGAGUUUAUUGAGUGAUUAUUUUGGCUGACUGCAGUCGUUACGUGCAGGGUUUCUUAAGGCAAUUACAAUUAGUAAAGAUUAUAUUCACUUUACACAGCUCUAUGCAUUUCCAAUUGUGAUUAUAAAUACAGAGGGGAGGAGAAAACGUGCAGCUGUUGCAUAUUGAUGAAUUGGUGGUUGCGGAGAGGUUUUUUUUGGGCUCCUCUUUCACAAAAUGUGGUUGUUAAACAUGGGGUUGGUGGUAAUUUGAGUUUGGGUGCAUUGAGAAACUUCGAGGAACUGCUAUCCUUCUUUUUCACAAUCCCUCUUUACAUUGAGUCAUGGUGCCCUUUAAAAUCCAGUGUUUCCAUAAAUGUAUGCUGGUUCACAUCUGAGGGGAGACAUUGAUGUCGCAGGACAAGAGGGAGGUCAUAAGCAUCUGUUUAUAGGUUCUGAGCGUGAGUGUGUGUGUGAAGGGGCCCCGAGUAUGCGUCUGUGUGAGUGUGUGUGUAUUUCUGUUUGUUUGUGUGGGUAGUGCUGCAGAAGGCCCAACAGAAGAACUGAACUGUAAGGUGAGACCCUUUCAUUUUAGAAGCAAUGGUUGCCACCUGAAACCUGAAGCGUUUUGAGCGGUCCUGGCAGGCAGGAUCAGAGGGAGAAGUAUUUCUGUCUGCACAACAGACAUGAGCCCAAAGCGCUCGCCAUUGGGCAGGAUAUAAUGCCCCCUACAGGAGAUGUUUGGAAGGACACUGAUGGGAGUUUAAAGGGGUCAUACGAUGUUGAUAAAAAGAAAAUUAUUUAGUAUAAUGCAAUGUGUUUAUGCCGGAGGUGUUGAAUGAGCCGCUGCCCUCUUUCUUUGUGUGAACAUUUGGACUGCAUUAUGCAAAUCUUCCCACAUAGUGACGUAGCUAUGUGGGGCGUGUUAGAAUGAGCCGUUUUAGGGGGGUGUGGAUGAGUCUUAAUUUUAAUAAAGAAUAUCUCUUUGGGUUUGAGACUUUAAUCUUUGCAACUUUACAGAUCUUCUUUAUGCACCAAGAGCUUGUAACAUUCUAAAGAGAACGGAAAAAUUGAAAUCGCAUCAUAUGACCCCUUUAAAACCUGACUGACUAUUUGUUAAGCACAAAAGUUUAUUAGAUUUUUUUAUAUAAUUAAAACAUGAUAUUAAAAUAUAUUAAAAAAUCAGUCUACUUUAAUUUGGAAAAUUCCAUUUUUUUAAAACCCAUACAUAAUAAUAAUUAUUUCAGGGCUUUUAUCAUUAUUAUUGAUUGUGAAAGCCUUUAAAAAAAAAAAAUGGAUUUAGAAAAUGGAGAGCAUUUUUUAAAGUAAUUAAUUAAUUAAUUAAUUAUUUUUUAACUUUUAUUGAACACACCCUUGAAGAGUUGAAUUUUUAAAAUGGGAAAGAAUUGACCAUGCUAACCACAACUGUGAUGUUUUUUACUUUCUAAGAUUUUUCAGAAUUGUAGAAAUGCACUUGCAGGAGUUGUAGACGGUCGCUGUCAUGUCUUUCUCCUUAAGCACAUAGUUUCUUUCAUUUCUACUUCCUCUAUUCAUCUCCACAGUAGAGUGAGUUCCCCUAAUUAUCUGUCGACUGAGAUGGUUGUCCUUGCAUGCUAAACAAUUCCCCAUCUGUUAUCACCCUUUUCCACCAAACACCAGGCCCUGUUUGACAACAAGCUGUAACUCUCAAAUGAAAGCACGAGAGGUCUUUAACUCGGUCAAAUCUCCCUGUUUCAUUUUUCAGGCUUGCAUGUUCUCUGUCACUCUAUUUAGUCCUUGGAAAUGUAGGACAAGGUCAUGGAUGCAUUUCUCCCCUUUCCUACAAUCAUUGUCUCUAAGGAUUUAUUGUCUUUCAUCACCCUUUUUUGAAAGUCUAUUCAGGGAAACAUCUGAGCUGUAGGUGUGGUGUGUGUUUUGUAGUGAUUGACUGAAGCUAGAGGUCUCUUUGUCUUAUGCCUAUUUCACUUGAAGAAAUUCUGAUUAACUGAUUCAUUUUUUAACACAUUAAUACUUUGUGUGAAUGGACUAGGAUUAUCUGUGUCCUGUUUGUUGUGUAUAGUGAACCUGUAUCUCAAACAGUACAGCAUUGCAUUAGGAAUGCCAAGAUCAUGGGAUCAGUUCUGAGGAUUUGCAUGAAUUGAUAAAAUGAGUUUGCUAAAUGCAAUAUAAAUGUCUUUUGAUAAAAGCAUAAAUGCAUAAAUGUAAAUGCAUUCCAUGUUUUGCCUAGUCUAAGCCUCAAAAAUCAUGCUCAUGGACCACCUGCUGAAAGUCUGAUGAAUGCUGCACAGAAAAAUGGCAAUCAAUUUCUUAACCUCAAAUCUGAUUUGCUGGCUGGUAUCCAAAUGAUGCUUCACAGCAUUAUGCAGCUGAAACAGUAGAGAAUGCUACUGAUAUAUCAGGACUGAGGGUUUGAUUCCCAUGGAGGUCAGUAAUCAAAGGAGUUGCUCACCCAAAAAUGACAACUGAAAACUGCUGAAAAUGCACCCUCAGUUCAUCCAAG
rnacentral:lncRNA from 1 species